CAGCCGCCGCGGUAAUACGGAGGGGGCUAGCGUUGUUCGGAAUUACUGGGCGUAAAGCGCACGUAGGCGGCUUGGUAAGUUAGAGGUGAAAGCCCAGGGCUCAACCCUGGAAUUGCCUUUAAGACUGCCGAGCUAGUAGGUGAGAGAGGUAAGUGGAAUUCCGAGUGUAGAGGUGAAAUUCGUAGAUAUUCGGAAGAGCACCAGUGGCGAAGGCGGCUUACUGGCUCAUUCUAGACGCUGAGGUGCGAAAGCGUGGGGAGCAAACAGGAUUAGAUACCCCUGUAGUCCCUGUCUCUUAUAC
rnacentral:rRNA from 1 species